ACAUGCAAGUCGAGCGCGGGAAGCAAGCGGAUCCCCUUCGGGGGUGAAGCUUGUGGAACGAGCGGCGGACGGGUGAGUAACACGUGGGCAACCUGCCUGUAAGACUGGGAUAACCCCGGGAAACCGGGGCUAAUACCGGAUAAUACCGGACUCCACAUGGAGUCCAGUUGAAAGAUGGCUUCUCGCUAUCACUUACAGAUGGGCCCGCGGCGCAUUAGCUAGUUGGUGAGGUAACGGCUCACCAAGGCGACGAUGCGUAGCCGACCUGAGAGGGUGAUCGGCCACACUGGGACUGAGACACGGCCCAGACUCCUACGGGAGGCAGCAGUAGGGAAUCUUCCGCAAUGGACGAAAGUCUGACGGAGCAACGCCGCGUGAACGAUGAAGGUCUUCGGAUCGUAAAGUUCUGUUGUCAGGGAAGAACAAGUACCGUGCGAAUAGAGCGGUACCUUGACGGUACCUGACGAGGAAGCCCCGGCUAACUACGUGCCAGCAGCCGCGGUAAUACGUAGGGGGCAAGCGUUGUCCGGAAUUAUUGGGCGUAAAGCGCGCGCAGGCGG
rnacentral:rRNA from 4 species